GACGAACGCUGGCGGCGUGCCUAAUACAUGCAAGUCGAGCGGACGGAUGGGAGCUUGCUCCCAGACCGUCAGCGGCGGACGGGUGAGUAACACGUGGGCAACCUGCCUGUAAGACUGGGAUAACUCCGGGAAACCGGGGCUAAUACCGGAUAACUCUUUCCCUCACAUGAGGGAAAGCUGAAAGAUGGCAUCUCGCUAUCACUUACAGAUGUGCCCGCGGUGCAUUAGCUAGUUGGUGAGGUAACGGCUCACCAAGGCGACGAUGCGUAGCCGACCUGAGAGGUGGACCGGCCACACUGGGACUGGGACACGGCCAAGAUUCCUACGGGAGGAGGCAGAAGGGAAUCUUCCGAAAUGGACGAAGUUCGGACGGAGCAACGCCGCGUGGUUGAGGAAGGUUUUCGGUUCGUAAAACUCUUUGGUCAGGGAGGAACAGUUACCGGAGUAACUGCCGGUACCUUGACGGUACCUGACCAGAAAGCCACGGCUAACUACGUG
rnacentral:rRNA from 1 species